rnacentral:rRNA from 1 species
AUGACCCGCGAGAAUGACCCCCCACUCAUUGCCAUGUCGGCACACCAUUGCGGAGACCGUUUAAUUAUCUCUCCCGUUGCUUCUCGUAAAAAAAAUAUGUCUCCCAUUGCAACGCAUGGGCAUAGAGUCGACCAGGGUUGCCCGGCCCGAUCCAACGCCUCGUCCGACGGCGCUGCCGGCCGGCGAUGGAUAUGGAGAGGAGCUCGGGUCUUCCUUGUGUAUAUUAGGGCAGCAGUAGUUUUAGUUUGUCUUGGCUUCAUGCCGUGGUCUGGCGUUAUGCCGUGGGGAUGCAAACCACUGGAGCUCUCGAGCGGCGUCUGGUGGUGGCCUCCGUCGUUUUCUUUCUUGCCACCAUGGUGGUGGAAAGUGGAAGACGCCGGAUCUGGCAAGAUCCCCUUGAAUAAGCUCGUUCUGGUGUUGUGGUGUUCCCUGAUCUGGAGGGCAUCCAACUGCUACUGCUUGUUUUCUCAGGCUACCAUGGUGGUGGAUGAGAAGCAGGAUAGUUGCAGAAUCCUGAAGUUUAUAGGUCGAGUUCGAGCAUAUCAGCAGAGGUCCCUUUGGUGGAGCGACGGCGCCCAUCGAUGGCUGCCGGUCUUCGUAGGUGCCCUGUUUCUUCUAGCCGAAUGGCGGCUGACUAUAUUCCUCCCGGCUUGCGUGCCUGAUGGGAGGCAGUUCCAGUGGCGGCUCGGAGGCUAUGGCGAGCAGGUGAUGCUUCCAUGGCGAUUUCGUCGUGCCAAGUGGUUCGUCCCCGGCGACGGCGAGGUUCAAUCUGGGCGGCGGCUGUCAAGGACCCGAUCGCGUUUCUUGCUUUCAGUCUGGGGUCCUCCUUGUAAAAGUCAGGGACUUAAUAUGCGUGCGACCUGGCACCUUGGCCUGGUCGACGCCUCCCCUCCGCCGCGGCGUGGAUCUAGCAGCUUCGGUGGCUCCCCGCAGCCUAUUUGCCGCGCACCCCCGAGGCUUGGCUCGGCUGCCGACGCCACCGGGCCUUCCCGCCGUAGCCACUCAGUUCGCGUGCUAUCACGAUGCCCACCACGCCCCCUCGACCGAGAGCAAGCAAGCGGCACCAGCCCACCACUUGGCCCACGCAGACCAAGGAGCCAUUGUCGCGGCGCGAUUUUUGCACGCUCCGAGGAGGAGUUCACGCCCCCAAUCCCACUGUCGGCGCCGGGCGCCGCCAGCUUCGUCUACGCACGCUCGGACACGGAGGAGGCGGCCAUGAUCGAGGCAGGCAUUGCCUAG